rnacentral:rRNA from 1 species
AUACGGAGGAUGCAAGCGUUAUCCGGAUUCAUUGGGUUUAAAGGGUGCGCAGGCGGAGAGAUAAGUCAGUGGUGAAAAACUGCCGCUCGACGGUAGUCUUGCCAUUAAUACUGUCUUUCUUGAGUAUGGAUGAGGUAGGCGGAAUGUGCAGUGUAGCGGUGAAAUGCAUAGAUAUUGCACGGAACACCAAUUGCGAAGGCAGCUUACUGGACCAUUACUGACGCUCAGGCACGAAAGCGUGGGGAUCAAACAGGAUUAGAUACCCUGGUAGUCCACGCAGUAAACGAUGUUCACUCGCUGUUUGCGAUAUACUGUAAGCGGCUUAGUUAAAGCAUUAAGUGAACCACCUGGGGAGUACGAUCGCAAGGUUGAAACUCAAAUGAAUUGGCGGGG